UCCAUGUGGAGAAGAUGGUCUUGGUGU
rnacentral:piRNA from 1 species